UAGAAUUGACGGGGCCCGCACAAGCGGUGGAGUAUGUGGUUUAAUUCGAUGCAACGCGAAGAACCUUACUACCCUUGACAUGUCCGGAACUUGCCAGAGAUGGCUUGGUGCCCGAAAGGGAAUCGGAACACAGGUGCUGCAUGGCUGUCGUCAGCUCGUGUCGUGAGAUGUUGGGUUAAGUCCCGCAACGAGCGCAACCCUUAUCAUUAGUUGCUACGCAAGGGCACUCUAAUGAGACUGCCGGUGACAAACCGGAGGAAGGUGGGGAUGACGUCAAGUCCUCAUGGCCCUUAUGGGUAGGGCUUCACACGUCAUACAAUGGUCGGUACAGAGGGUUGCCAAGCCGCGAGGCGGAGCCAAUCCCACAAAGCCGAUCGUAGUCCGGAUUGUUCUCUGCAACUCGAGAGCAUGAAGUCGGAAUCGCUAGUAAUCGCAGGUCAGCAUACUGCGGUGAAUACGUUCCCGGGUCUU
rnacentral:rRNA from 1 species